GAUGAACGCUGGCGGCGUGCCUAAUACAUGCAAGUCGAGCGAACGGACGAGAAGCUUGCUUCUCUGAUGUUAGCGGCGGACGGGUGAGUAACACGUAGAUAACCUACCUAUAAGACUGGGAUAACUUCGUGAAACCGGAGCUAAUACCGGAUGAUAUUUUGAACCGCAUGGUUCAAAAGUGAAAGACGGUCUUGCUGUCACUUAUAGAUGGAUCCGCGCUGCAUUAGCUAGUUGGUAAGGUAACGGCUUACCAAGGCAACGAUGCAUAGCCGACCUGAGAGGUUGAUCGGCCACACUGGAACGAAGCACGGGUCCGGACUCCUACGGGAGGCAGCGGUAGGAAAUCUUCCGCAAGGGGCGAAGGCCUGACGAAGCAACGCCGCGUGAGGGAUGAAGGUCUUCGGAUCGUAAACCUCUGUUAUUAGGGAAGAACAUAUGUGGAAGUAACUGUGCAGAUCUUGACGGUACCAAAUCAGAAAGCCCCGGCUAACUACGU
rnacentral:rRNA from 1 species